CACGUAGGGCGCGAGCGUUGUCCGGAAUUAUUGGGCGUAAAGAGCUCGUAGGCGGUCUGUCGCGUCGGCUGUGAAAACCCGAGGCUCAACCUCGGGCCUGCAGUCGAUACGGGCAGACUAGAGUGCUGUAGGGGAGACUGGAAUUCCUGGUGUAGCGGUGAAAUGCGCAGAUAUCAGGAGGAACACCGGUGGCGAAGGCGGGUCUCUGGGCAGUAACUGACGCUGAGGAGCGAAAGCGUGGGGAGCAAACAGG
rnacentral:rRNA from 1 species